rnacentral:rRNA from 1 species
UACGUAGGGGGCUAGCGUUGUCCGGAUUUAUUGGGCGUAAAGAGCGUGUAGGCGGCCAGGUAGGUCUGCUGUGAAAACUCGAGGCUCAACCUCGAGACGUCGGCGGAAACCAUCUGGCUAGAGUCCGGAAGAGGAGAGUGGAAUUCCUGGUGUAGCGGUGAAAUGCGCAGAUAUUCGGAAGAACACCAGUGGCGAAGGCGGCUCACUGGUCCGGUACUGACGCUGAGGUGCGAAAGCGUGGGGAGCAAACAGG